GAAAGUCUAGUUUAGUAACAUUUCUAACAUUUGCUCUGGCAUUCUUUAUGAGAAACAGAGAAGAUGUAACAAAUUGUGGUGUAUCUGAAUAGUUCUAAGCUACCUGGAAUUCCAGUUUAACAUCAGAAUUCAGGAGCUUGGAAUUCACCCUGGCUUGCUAUUUCACUACCUUCUCAUGUUCCUUCAGGAAUGGAUAAAAUAAUAAAUACCACCAUAAUUUAUUGCUUAGAGAAAGCUGUUAUCAAAUUUAUUAUUGUUUUAAACCUACAGAAAUUUUUCACAGAUGGACUAAUGAGGCAGGAGAAGAGGUCUAGGGGAAACUUCCUUUAUCUGCUUGUUAUUUACACAGUAGUCCAAGAAUACAUUGUGGAAAUAAUGUCCUAUGGUUUCCAAGUCUUUCAUAUUGCAAGCGGUGUUUGUCUGCAGCCUGAAGCAUCAGUCUCCUAGGACAUGGGGAGAAAUAUGCUGAAAAUAUCAUGAAGAAAACUCUAUUACUUUGAAGAUAUUACCAGAAAGGAGAAAACGAUAUUAAAGGAAACCUGCACAAUACUGAAGAAUAAAACAACCCACUCUGAAAAGGAUCUUAACCUUACAAAAGCAGUCAGAAAGGCUUGGGUGCAAUGCAAAGAUGUAAACAAUACCAAAACAAUAAGGGACAUAAAGACAUCAAACUAACAAGAUACAGUGGAAUGGAGGAUAGGGUAUUCUAAAGGGAAAGAAAAUGAGAUUAUCUUUUGGCCAUGCUUUG
rnacentral:lncRNA from 1 species